CCUACGGGGGGCAGCAAUGGGGAAUAUUGGACAAUGGGCGAAAGCCUGAUCCAGCCAUGCCGCGUGUGUGAAGAAGGCCUUCGGGUUGUAAAGCACUUUCAGUGGGGAAGAAAGCCUUGGGGCUAAUACCCUCGAGGAAGGACAUCACCCACAGAAGAAGCACCGGCUAACUCCGUGCCAGCAGCCGCGGUAAUACGGAGGGUGCGAGCGUUAAUCGGAAUUACUGGGCGUAAAGCGCGCGUAGGCGGUCUGAUAAGCCGGUUGUGAAAGCCCCGGGCUCAACCUGGGAACGGCAUCCGGAACUGUCAGGCUAGAGUGCAGGAGAGGAAGGUAGAAUUCCCGGUGUAGCGGUGAAAUGCGUAGAGAUCGGGAGGAAUACCAGUGGCGAAGGCGGCCUUCUGGACUGACACUGACGCUGAGGUGCGAAAGCGUGGGUAGCAAACAGGAUUAGAUACCCUAGUAGUC
rnacentral:rRNA from 1 species